GACGAACGCUGGCGGCGUGCUUAACACAUGCCAGUCGAACGGAAAGGCCCUGCUUUUGUGGGGUGCUCGAGUGGCGAACGGGUGAGUAACACGUGAGUAACCUGCCCUUGACUUUGGGAUAACUUCAGGAAACUGAGGCUAAUACCGGAUAGGAGCUCCUGCUGCGUGGUGGGGGUUGGAAAGUUUCGGCGGUUGGGGAUGGACUCGCGGCUUAUCAGCUUGUUGGUGGGGUAGUGGCUUACCAAGGCUUUGACGGGUAGCCGGCCUGAGAGGGUGACCGGCCACAUUGGGACUGAGAUACGGCCCAGACUCCUACGGGAGGCAGCAGUGGGGAAUAUUGCACAAUGGGCGGAAGCCUGAUGCAGCAACGCCGCGUGCGGGAUGACGGCCUUCGGGUUGUAAACCGCUUUCGCCUGUGACGAAGCGUGAGUGACGGUAAUGGGUAAAGAAGCACCGGCUAACUACGUG
rnacentral:rRNA from 1 species